CUUUCUCCCUCCCUGUUGAACGAGCGGAAUUAGGGGACGACCGUCGGAGGUUAUCUAGGAAACUGCAGACAUCUCUCCGAUGCUAACUUAUCAACGAUUUCGUAUAUCCUUGCGAGUAGCCUACCACCAUUGCUUUGCCUUUACUCUGUCAAAUGUAGAGGACUGCCUAUGUUUCUGUCAAAUGUAGAGGACUGCCUAUGUUUCGUAUCACGCCGUGCUGCACAAGCAGCGUGAAAAGAUCUGACUCAAGGAUGCGGAUUUAAACAGAAAUACACUGCCAACUGGGAUUUGAAACAUUCACAUUGAAUUAAGUCACUAAUGCCAGUAACCAGAUACUCUUUAUGUUCGUUUUAUAUUUGAUCAGUGACGCGGUAAAAAUAUCGAGAGCCAACCACCAACGAAGAUAAACCGCGAGAACGGGUUGGAUGGUUUUCCCCCAGCCCCGGUCACCAUCAUGAGCACCAUCUCUCCCACAGACUUCGACAGCCAGGAGAUCCAGCAGCAGUACAAUGACAUCAACAACCGCUGGGACCUGGCCGCAGAGACCGACUGGGACAAUGAGAACAGCUCGGCACGCCUCUUUGAGCGCUCGCGCAUCAAAGCUCUGGCAGAUGAGCGUGAAGCGGUGCAGAAGAAAACCUUCACUAAGUGGGUGAACUCUCACCUGGGCCGUGUGACGUGCCGCAUCGGGGACCUGUACACUGACCUGAGAGAUGGACGUAUGCUCAUCCGCCUGCUGGAGGUGCUGUCAGGGGAACAGCUGCCGAAGCCCACCAAGGGGCGUAUGCGUAUCCACUGCCUGGAGAAUGUGGACAAGGCCCUACAGUUUCUCAAGGAGCAGAAGGUCCACCUGGAGAACAUGGGCUCUCACGACAUCGUGGAUGGGAACCACCGCCUCACCCUGGGUCUCAUCUGGACCAUCAUACUCCGCUUCCAGAUCCAGGACAUCAGCGUGGAGACUGAGGAUAACAAGGAGAAGAAGUCUGCCAAAGAGGCCCUGCUUCUCUGGUGCCAGAUGAAGACCGCUGGGUACCCCAACGUCAACGUUCACAACUUCACCACCAGCUGGAGAGACGGCCUGGCGUUCAACGCCAUCGUGCACAAACACAGACCGGACGUGAUUGAGUUUGACAGCCUGAAGCGUUCCAACGCCCACUACAACCUCCAGAAUGCCUUCAACACGGCAGAGAAUAAGCUGGGCCUCACCAAACUCCUGGACCCAGAAGAUGUCAACGUUGACCAGCCGGAUGAGAAGUCCAUCAUCACCUACGUGGCCACCUACUACCACUACUUCUCCAAGAUGAAGGCCCUGGCUGUGGAGGGCAAGAGGGUUGGCAAGGUGCUGGACUAUGCCAUUGAGGCUGACCAGCUGGUUGGGAACUAUGAGAGCCUGGCGUCAGAGCUGCUGCAGUGGAUCGAGCAGACCAUUCUGACCCUGAAUGACCGGCAGCUGGCCAACUCCCUGAGCGCCGUGCAGAACCAGCUGCAAGCCUUCAACACCUACCGCACCGUGGAGAAACCCCCUAAGUUCACAGAGAAAGGCAACUUGGAGGUGCUGCUGUUCACCAUUCAGAGCAAGAUGAGAGCCAACAACCAGAAGGUGUACAUUCCCAGAGAGGGCAAGCUCAUCUCUGACAUCAACAAGGCGUGGGAGCGCCUGGAGAAGGCGGAGCACGAGCGGGAGCUGGCGCUGAGGAACGAGCUGAUUCGCCAGGAGAAGCUGGAGAUGCUCGCCGCUCGUUUCGACCGCAAGGCCGCCAUGAGGGAGACCUGGCUGAGCGAGAACCAGCGGCUCGUCUCUCAGGACAACUUUGGUGUGGACCUGGGAGCGGUGGACGCUGCGACUCGUAAACACGAGGCCAUCGAGACGGACAUCGGGGCGUACGGGGAGCGCGUGGCAGCCGUGGAGGCGGUGGCCAGGGAGCUGGAGGCGGAGAAUUACCACGACGUGCGCCGUGUGCUGGCGAGGAGGGACAACGUGCUGCGGCUGUGGGAGUAUCUGAAGGAGCUGUUAGCCGCUCGCAGGGAGAGACUCAACGCACACCGUGACCUGCAGAGACUGCUGCAGGAGAUGAGAUCCAUCAUGGACUGGAUGGGAGAGAUGAAGGGUCGUCUGCAGUCCCAGGACAGUGGGAAGCACCUGCAUGAUGUGGAGGACCUGCUGCAGACUCACAACCUGGUGGAGGCAGACAUCUCAGCCCAGGCAGAGGGGGUCCGUGGGGUCCAGGGAGCCGCUCAGCGCUUCACCUCGGACCAACAGGUCUACAAACCGUGUGAGCCGGCGCUGGUGGGAGAGAAGGUGUCUCUGCUGGGCCGGGCCUAUGAGGAGCUGGGCCAGCUGGCCGGGGAGCGGAGGGUGCGCCUCGAGGAUUCGCGGCGCCUCUGGCAGUUCCUGUGGGAGCUGGGAGAGGAGGCGGCCUGGAUCAGAGAGCAGGAGCAGAUCCUGGCUGGAGGAGACUGUGGCCGCGACCUCACCUCCGCCCUGCACCUCCUCAGCAAGCACGAGGCCUUCAGGGACGAGAUGGCAGCCCGCUACGGCCCUCUGGGCAACAGCAUCGCCGCGGGACAGACCCUGGUGGAGGAGGGACACAUUGGAGCCCCAGAGUGCACUGAGAGGAUCAGGGACGUCCGCGCUCAGUGGGCACACCUGGAGGAGACGUCCCAGCUGAGGGAGCAGCAGCUGAAGGAGGCAGUGGCCCUGCACCAGUUCCAGACGGACGCCAACGACAUGGAGGCCUGGAUCCUGGAGACGCUGCGCCAGGUGUCCAGCCAGGAGGUGGGCCACGACGAGUUCUCCACCCAGACCUUGGCCCGCAAGCAGAGGGAGGUGGAGGAGGAGAUCCAGAGCCACCGCACCCUCAUCGACUCCCUGCACGAGCAGGCCCUCACCCUGCCCCCGGUCCAUGCAAACGCCCCUCAGGUAGAGGGCCGUCUGCCUGCCAUAGAGCAGCGUUACCACGAGCUGGAGGCCCUGUCUGCGUCGCGGCGUCAGGCCCUGGAGGGGGCGCUGGCCCUCUACCGCAUGUACAGCGAGGCGGGCGCCUGUCAGCUGUGGGUGGGGGAGAAGGAACAGUGGCUGGACGGCAUGCAGAUCCCCACCAAACUGGAAGACCUGGAGGUGGUGCAGCAGAGGUUCGAGACCCUGGAGCCUGAGAUGAACAACCUGGGGACUCGUAUCUCUGAUGUCAACCAGGUGGCUCAACAGCUGCUGGGAUCAGACAACCUCAGCAAAGAGCAGAUCAACCAGACACAAGACCAGCUCAACAACAGGUGGAAGGAGUUCCAGCGUCUGGCGGACCAGAGGAAACAGGCCCUGGAGUCGGCCCUCAACAUCCAGAACUACCACCUGGAGUGUAACGAGAUCCAGAGCUGGAUGAGAGAGAAGACAAAGGUGAUCGAGUCCACCGAGAGCCUGGGCAACGACCUGGCUGGUGUCAUGGCCCUGCAGCGCAAACUCACCGGCAUGGAGAGAGACCUGGAGGCCAUUCAGGGUAAGUUGGACGACCUGAAGAAGGAGGCAGAGACGCUGGCUGAGGAGCACCCGGACCAGGCAGAGGAGAUCCAUGCCCACCUGGGGGAGAUCCAGGAGGUGUGGCAGGAGCUCAAUGCCACCAUGAAGCGGCGCGAGGAGUCUCUGGGCGAGGCCAGCAAGCUGCAGGGCUUCCUCCGGGACCUGGAUGACUUCCAGUCCUGGCUGUCCCGCACGCAGACCGCCGUGGCGUCCGAGGACAUCCCCACCUCGCUGCCAGAGGCUGAGCGCCUGCUCUCCCAGCACGAGAGCAUCAAGAACGAGGUGGACAACUACAAGGAGGACUAUGAGAAGAUGCGGGCGGUGGGUGACGAGGUGACUCAGGGCCAGACGGACGCCCAGUACAUGUUCCUGGCCCAGAGGCUGCAGGCGCUGGACACCGGGUGGCACGAGCUGCGCCGGAUGUGGGAGAACCGCCACAGCCUUCUGGCCCAAGCCUUCGACUUCCAGAGCUUCCUGAGGGAAGUCAAGCAGGCUGAGGGCUUCCUCAACAGCCAGGAGUAUGUGCUGUCCCACACUGAGAUGCCCUCCAGCCUGCAGGGGGCAGAGGAGGCCAUCAAGAAGCACGAGGACUUCCUGACCACCAUGGAGGCCAGUGAGGAGAAGAUCACGGGCGUGGUGGAGGCCGGACGCCGCCUGGUCAACGACCUUAACGCCAACUCUGACAAGAUCAGGAAAAGGCCGACUCCAUCCAGGAGAGACAUCAGAAGAAUAGGGAAGCUGCAAAUGAACUCCUGUCUAAACUGAAGGACAACCGCGAACUUCAGCACUUCCUGCAGGACGGACAGGAGCUGACUCUGUGGAUCAAUGAGAAGAUGCUGACAGCUCAGGACAUGUCGUACGACGAGGCCAGGAACCUCCACAGCAAGUGGCAGAAACACCAGGCCUUCAUGGCUGAGCUGGCCUCCAACAAAGACUGGCUGGAUAAGAUCGAUAAGGAGGGCCAGGCCCUGGUGACAGAGAAACCGGAGCUACAGCCUGUAGUCCAGCAAACUCUGGAGGGCCUGCAGAGCCAAUGGGAAGAGCUAGAGAACACUACACGCACCAAGGCUCAGUGCCUCUUCGAUGCCAACAGGGCAGAGCUCUUCACCCAGAGCUGCUCUGCUCUGGACGUGUGGCUGAAGAACCUGUCAGGGCAGCUUCAGAGCGACGACUUCGGCAAGGACCUGACCUCCGUCAACAUCCUGCUCAAGAAGCACCAGAUGCUGGAGCACCAGAUGGAGGUGCGUGAGAAGGAGGUGCAGUCACUGCAGUCCCAGGCGCUGGCGCUGUCCCAGGAAGAUGCUGGUGGGGCCGUGGUGGAGGUGGAUGGCCAGCAGAGACGUGUCACUGACAGCUUCUCCCAGCUCCAGGACCCCCUCAACCAGAGGCGGCAGCAACUGCUGGCCUCCAAGGAGGCCCACCAGUUCAACAGAGACCUGGAGGAUGAGAUUCUGUGGGUGAAGGAGAGGAUGCCCCUGGCCACAUCCACCGACCAUGGGAAGGACCUGUCCAGUGUGCAGCUGCUCAUCAAGAAGAACCAGACUUUGCAGAAGGAGAUCCAGGGCCACCAGCCCCGUAUUGAUGACAUCCAGACCCACCGCAGGGGGAUGUCCCCAGGGCAGGAGGAGAUGGACGGGGAGAGGCGGUCUGCUCUGGAGGGCCGUCUGGCGGAGCUCCGGGACUCCUGGGCCCAGCUCAUCGCUGAGACGGACGAGCGCCACGCCCGGCUGGUGGAGGCUAACCGCGCUCAGCAGUUCUACACCGACGCUGCAGAGGCCGAGGCCUGGAUGGGAGAGCAGGAGCUACACAUGAUGUCAGAGGAGAAGGCCAAGGAUGAGCAGAGCGCUCUGGUGAUGGUGAAGAAGCACCAGACGUUAGAACAGACCUUGGAGGAUUACGCCCAGCCCAUCCACCAGCUGGCCAACAGCAGCCGCACCAUGAUGACCAGCGAACACCCAGAGAGCGAGCGUAUCAACCUACGGCAAGCCCAGGUGGACAAGCUGUACGCAGGGCUGAAGGACCUGGCUGAGGAGCGUCGUGGGCGUCUCCAGGAGAGGCUGAGGCUGACCCAGCUGAAGAGAGAGGUGGACGACCUGGAGCAGUGGAUCGCUGAGAGGGAGGUGGUGGCCGGAUCCCACGAGCUGGGACAGGACUACGAACAUGUCACCAUGCUGCGGGACAAGUUCCGCGAGUUUGCUCGGGACACCAGCACCAUCGGCCAGGAGCGUGUGGACGGUGUUAACGGGCUGGCCGAUGACCUCAUCGAGUCGGGUCACCCUGAGAAUGCCAGCGUGGCAGAGUGGAAGGACGGGCUGAACGAGGCGUGGGCCGACCUGCUGGAGCUGAUCGACACGCGCACCCAGAUGCUGUCCGCCUCCUACGAGCUGCACCGCUUCCACCAGGACGCCCGCGAGGCGCUGGGGAGGGUCCGGGAGAAGAAGGAGGCGCUGCCCUCUGACCUGGGUCGUGACCUCAACACCGUCCAGCACCUCCACCGACAGCACACCGCCUACGAGCACGACAUCCAGGCCCUCAGCGGACAGGUGAACCAGGUGCAGGACGACGCGGCGCGGCUGCAGAAGGCCUACGCCGGGGAGAAGGCGGAGGAGAUCCACCGGAGCGAGCGCUCUGUCACUGAGGCCUGGGAGGGUCUGCUGGGGGCCGGCCAGGCUCGCCGUCACCUCCUGCUGGACACCGUGGAGAAGUUCCGCUUCGUCAACAUGGUGCGUGACCUCAUGUUGUGGAUGGACGGGGUCAACCUGCAGAUCGACGCCCACGACAGCCCCAGGGACGUGUCCUCUGCAGGGUUGGUCAUAGCCAACCAUCAGGACAUCAAGUCUGAGAUCGAGACCCGGGCAGACAGCUUCACCACCUGCAAUGAGAUGGGACACUCUCUCAUCAACAAUAACCACUAUGCAGCUGAUGAGAUCCUGGAGAAACUGGACCAGCUCCAGGGUAAGAGGGACGAGAUCAGCAACAAGUGGCAGGACAAGAUGGACCACCUCCUGAUAGUUCUGGAGGUGCUGCAGUUUGGCCGGGAUGCGUGCGUGGCAGAGACGUGGCUGGCAGGCCAGGAGCCCCUGGUGCGGGGGGCCGAGCUGGGCUCUAACGUGGACGAGGUGGAGAGCCUGAUCAAACGCCACGAGGCCUUCGAGAAGCUGGCCGCCGGCUGGGAGGAACGCUUCACCCUGCUGGAGAAACUCACCACGCUGGAGGAGCAGGAGAUCCAGAGGAGGAGGGAGGAGGAGGAGAGGGCGAGGCGAACCCCCACACCACCCCCGACAGAAGAGGUGGCCCCGUCUGAGGCCGAAACACAUGAUGCCAGGACCAGCCUGGACCAGACCACACUCAACCAGUCAGUAUCAGUCAAUGGAGUCCACAGCUACCAGGACACAUCCCAGUCGUUAUCAGUAUCAUCAGUGUCAGUGGAAAAGAAAGAGAAGUGUGAACCUGUCUCUAAACCUGUGUCUAAGCCAAAGCCUCCGCUGCGCGGUUCUGAGUCUGACUCUGUGAAUGGUCCGGGGAGGGACAGCGGGCUGGCGUCUUCACGCCUGGACCCGUCUGCCACGCUACCCAGCAAGGGAGAUAACGCUGGCCCAGACGCCAUGGAAGGCCUGCUCUACCGCAAGCAGGAGAUGGAGACCCACGCCAAGAGGGCAGCUAGCAGGUCCUGGCAGAAUGUCUACUGCGUUCUGCGUAAGGGCAGCCUUGGCUUCUACAAGGACCAGAAGAGCGCCUCCGGCGGGAUCCCCUACCACGGAGAAGUCCCCAUCAGCCUGGGAGAGGCUGUGUGUGAGGUGGCACACGACUACAAGAAGAGGAAACACGUCUUCAAGCUACGGCUAGGGGAUGGUAAGGAGUUCCUGUUCCAAGCUAAAGAUGAGCCGGAGAUGGCCUCGUGGAUCCACUCCAUUCAUAGCUGCAUCCCAGCAGGGGGGUCAGGAGACCGCUCCCCCGGAGGCCCCAGGGCCCUGAGCCGAGCCAUGACUAUGCCCCCCAUCUCCCCUAGCUCAGCAGAGGCUGCAGGGGUCACCAUGCGCAACAAGGAGGGCAAGGAGAAGGACCGCGAAAAGAGGUUCAGCUUCUUUGGCAAGAAGAAAUAAAAACGUCUGGAGAAGAACAACAUCAAGGGAAAUGAUAUUUGUCGAAAUUCCACCAAACUGAAACGGGCAGAAAGGAAAACAGUCUUGUGGCAUAAACGCAUCGCUCUCAGCCUUGGUCCUAAGGAGUUUGUCAACAACUAUGUGGCACACACAGAGCUUGCUCUUCCUCCCUCUCUUCCUCCCUCUCCAUUUGUCUUCUCUUUCCCUCUCAUAUCGCUCUUUUCCUUUCCAUUUCUCACAUUAGAUUCAUCCUACCAAUGUAAGCCCUUUUGCAUCAAUGGCAUUUUCAGACAAGAAGCUGUGUUUGUUGAUCAGUCACUAAUAAGAACUCUUUGACCUCAUCGCUGGGGGGAACCAAGGUGUUUGUGGGGAGAUGAGAGGCAGGGGUGGUUAGCAUUGGCAGAGCCAAGAGGCUAUGAGGCCUGUAAGAGUCCAUUCUCUUCCAUUCACCCACAUUGGAUUCUGUUUAAAAUGAGUUCUUCCUCGACCCGUUUUUUAGAUGGCUAAUCUGCUCUAAUGCUGUUUUACCACGAAAAGAGAACCCAUGGACCACAGUAGAGAGUGCUGUCCCCUCACGUCCCCUCUCCCAGUCUCUCUCUCCCCCUCCUUGGGAAGGACCACAUCAUUUUUGGGACGUUUGCGUAAUUAACGUUACCAAUAAUUAUUGCUGUUAUUAUAAUUCAUAUUUAUCUUUUUGCUGUUGCAAGCUUGAGGGGGGGGGGGGGUUAUUUAAAGAGUACGUCAGUGGAUGUAUUGAGUCAUGUUGUGAAACAACAAUUUGGUUUAAUUCACGGGACCACGUUGGUCUUGUUUCUGUUUGUAUCGUUGUCAGUUUGAGGUGGGGUUUUUUUUUUUUUUUUAAAGAAAGCUCAGUAAAUUUUAGCAGUGUGCAGUUAAGUGAUUUUCACCAGUGCAGAAUGAUAGAUAUAUUUAAAGUGGUUUUAUUUUAACUUGGAAAUUGUACCGGUUUGAUUUUGUUCUUCGACGGGAUUAUUUCUCCUUUGAUUGUGAGUUUCCUUGUUUCUUUUGGAAGCAGAGAGUUUUCUAGUGAGAGUGAGAGUUGUGGUGCUGUGGGUUUUGCACGUUUCUGUUCUAAAUCAGACGUGUCCAGUUGGAUGCUGCUUUUCUGACUUAACACACACACACACACACAGAUAAACACACACUUAAAGAAGUUGUUGGGAUGGCUUUCUAGAAGUAUUCUUAAAAUGUAGAUGACAAUGUGCUAAUGAAUGAAUUAAACGUUCCUCCUAGAUGGUUUUCAGACUUCCGUUUCACUCUUCCCUCACCACCACCUCCUCUGUCUGUUGUUUCGCUAUGUGAUGGCAGAGGGGUACGUUAACACUGUUUAACACUGCCAGUGCCCAACACUAGAGAUGAUUGUAAGCAAAAGCACAUCAAUGUGGCAUGGGGUGGUCUGGUAGGAGGGGGGGUCAUUACAGGUGGGUUAGGUUCGGGGCGCUGAGGGGGGAUGAUGAGAGUAGAGAAUCAGAAGGUAGUGUGCUGGGAGAGGAGGAGUACUGAGCCUUACUGCAGCCCACAGACUUAAGAACCCUUUAUUAGCUCAGUCGUUCCUUGAAUAGCGCUUAAUCACAAAGGGAGCUUUUUCACUCGCGUAACAAAUCUCUGAAUGUGCCCUUUGGCGUUGACGCUGCAUAUGUCUAUGGAUUCUGUACCCAGGUACCAUAGGGUGCAUGGAGACGGGCCCAGCCGCAACAGCGAUUUGAAGGAAGUGAAAUGCAGGCAAAGCUCUGUUGGAUUGGAAGAGGCGUAACCAUGGAUCACUUUCCUCACUUGAUUGGUAAAUGAUAGAGAGAAUAGUCUUCCGGUGUUUUGCCGGAGAGCUUGGAGCUCCUCCGCGUGUGGCAUGACCUCAUGUAGGAUUGUAUGCGUCUCGUUUUUCUCUCCAAUUCUCACCUAGUCAGAUGUUCUAGGUACAUGAGAUUUCCUCCGUAAGCCAUGUAUGGCAUGAUACCAUGAAGCCCAUGCUGUGGAGGGUGGAGUAUUACACAGGUGUAUCAUUAGCAGUUUGGAAAGAAUUCACAAAUGGGCAAAAAGAAAAUGGUUAAAUGAUAUUAAAUGACAGUAAAGGUGACAUUGAUACGUAGAUGGCGAGUCCUGGCACAGUGAGUGAUUUUUAUUUCCUUGUCUGAGACGAGUGGAAGUUUUUCCUGUAUAAGACAGCUCUAAACAUGGCAGAAUCCUUGAGCCUCAAUUAUUGCGGGCAAAAUGAUAUCUGUUACUCGACGAUAGGCUUAUCUGGGGUGAGGGUGUGGGCGUAUCAAAGCCCUGUUAGGUUAUUGUAUGACCGAUGGCUCACCCUCAACCAGAGAAGGAAAGAACAAGUGGCUGGCUAAGUGUCCGAAAUGUGCAGCUUUCCAACAGGCAAGACUAUUGAACUAUUGGCCUUUCAUUCCAAUACAGUUGGUGUGAUUUGGGGUAAAUAAGCAAGAGUUGACCCAUAAUACCUGAGGCUGUAGAAUAUGCAGUUGACUCCUUUGUCUGCCUUGAUUUGUAUCCCAACUGUGAGCCUGAGCGAUUGGUCCCAGCCGAAUGUACUGAGCUGAGCCUCUGGCUCCUUAGUCACAGGUCAAAGGCCGCUGACCUGUUCAAUGAGGCAACAACAACAAAGAAGUCAACGACGCUCAGAGUAGAACAGAGUGAGCCUUGCUGGGUCAAUAUUCACUGUGACAAACUACUACCAGGGCAGCCAGUGCUGGAUCGGCCACAGCACUUCAACAAGUAGCUUGUGUAGCCCUCUACUGUGCGUACUGCUCCAACAGUGACCCAGUUGUAGACACGAGCAGGUUCCCCAGGCCCAUUUGAAGUCUCUGAAGAUGAGUGUAGCGCUGUAUGUUCUAGUAUAACUUCUUAUGAAUGUUUAUGGCUCAGAAGGUGAGUUGGGCCAAAUUGGUCAUGUGACGCAAAAGGACAUGUUACUUGGAGCCACUAUUUCACAUACUUUACAUGCAUACACACUACCUUUCUCUCCUCUCUCGGUCUCACUCUCACACACACACACACAAACACUCUGAUAUACUAAGGUAGAAUGACUCUGGCCUUCCAGCCAAGCAGAAAUAUGUGGAGCUGGUUGUGAUUUGGUUCCAGACUUGGGUUGUUGUUCAGUCUCUGUGUGUUACUGGUGAGCUUUGACCAGAAAAGGAUUGUAUUAUUGAGGGUGUUGAGAUAGGGUUUUUAUGGGGUUUUAAAAGUUAAAGUGGAACACCUGAAAAGGUAUCUUGGUCUCUUAUUUGAAGAGGAAAAUAAAUACAGUAUACAUUAACCAGAGGGCUGAUGGCAAAUUUGAGCUUCCUUUUUCUAGAGUUAGACAGCAGAUGUGCUGUCUCACGGGGUUCUUGUAUUUUCUCAUCCAGUGGUCUGAUCUGUUCUGCAGUGUUCGAUAAGCCGGUUCACCCACUCUCAUUUCAAAUUUCUUUGAAUCUAAGUUCCUUCUUCUGUGACUUAACUAAUUCCAAGCUAAUACCACUGCUAUGAUGUAUUAUUAUUGCUACUGUUAUUACUACUACUGUUACUCCUGUUACUUAUUACUUUAACUAGAACUGCUGUCCAUUUUUCAGGUAUGCGUCUGUAAUACCAGACCCUUCCACAAGAUGUCAGUGUGCUGUGGAGCAUUUUCAUUACAGAUUGAAAAUAAUGUUUGUUGACUUGUAUCUUCAUAUUAGGAAUAAUAAAACCUGGUUUAAAAGAAAACAACGAA